UGAUAAGCCAGGUCACUGAAGGGCCUUCUUCCCUGUGUCACACUGCAGAGAUGUACACUCUAGCACAGAGACUAGAUGGUUUUUCACAUUCAUAGGCUAUUAAUACAAGGAUUGUUUUGCCAAACACAAAUUCCAUUUUGAUCCUUAGUUAAGGACCCGCCCAUCCUAAUUUCUACAAUUCCUUAGAAGUAUUUGUUAAGCUUUAAUAAAGGCAAGAGAUAAAAUAGUUUAUGUACAUUGAGUCUCAUCUCUGCCUUUGAUCAUUUUGGCAUUAUUUAAUGGAAAAGGUGAAAAUGGCUUUGCUUUGCUCCUCCAAAACUGUAUAGGCCCAAAGCACAGAAAAACAGUAAUCUACGACCAGGGAAAUUCACAGCUGUGCCACUUCAAUACUACUCAUGCUCUUUUUUCUCUCAGGUGUCUUCACGAGCCUUCCACGUGGUUUCUCCUCCCUGGAGGAAAGGACAGGGGCACCAGAACCAGGUACAUGGCUGGCUCCAGGCUGCAGCAAGGAGAUGAGAAUCAAGCAUGCACUCUGUCUCUGUGAGAGGACUCAUCACUGCUAUAUUCAUGAGAGCUUGAAAACAAUACAGAAGUAGGAAAGAAGAAAGAAAAUGUGCGUGAAGAAGCAGACUCCCUUAAGGCAAGUUCUUCAUGUCAAAACACUUGUUGGCUGCUUGUUUUGAGGCUUUCAAUUUAAACAACGUAUGAAAUGCAAUGGCCUG
rnacentral:lncRNA from 1 species